GGAACUGUUUUUUAUUUAGCAAAACUUUCAUGUUCAACAUAUACAAAAGCUCCUCCUCCAAAUUUCAGUCCAGUGCUACCGGAGACACUCAACUUCACUUUUACAAAUGUCUACCCAGCUGUCCUCCACCCAUAUGCUGAGAGAGCAAGUGCUUGGGAUGCUAAGGAAAGAGGAAGCUGACUUGCUGAACAAAAUCGCCCUUUCCAUGAACAAGACUGCUUUGAACAAUUUUUUGAUCAAGUUUAUUGACUCUGCCUUCAAACAAAUUCUCUCUUAACUGACUCGGGGACUCAGGGAGAUUUGUUCAGCUGAGAAAUAAUAGCUCAAGUUGAUCAAGUCUUUCCCGUGUGCUUGGGGUUCUGGGACUGCAAAAUCAAAUGAAAACCUUGAUGUUGCAGGAUUUGUAUCUUCACUGGGACUGGACAUUGAAAAUAAAUAAACAAGAUAUGAUGCUA